UUGUAAGAUGCGAAAGAUUGGAUGCGAUUGUGCCAAAUAUAAAUUCGAUAAACUAGAAUGUAAAUCAGAAUGUACAUGCAACCAGCAAGAGUAUUUGUUAAAUUAUAGGUGUGUGUAUUUUGAGUGAGAUAUAUUAAGAGAGCUAGUUCUGGUUCAACGACAAUUCAUGCAUCGAUUCAUUAAAUCUCGUAGGAGUCUCUACCUUUAAAGACGAUGCUCAUAAUUAAAGAAACGUGUGAUAGUUCGUGAUGUUGGAUUGAAAUGAUAAAAUUAAUUAAAAAAAAAAAUCAACAUCCAAAAUGGCUACUUUUGGCUUUUAUCAAGAAAAUCCGAAUAAGAUGAAGUUUCAUCAAUGUUCAUAAAAUUUGUUCUCAAAAAAAUAAAAAUAAAAUAGCUAUGAUUAUUAAUUUCACACUUAAAAAGGUGGAGGAUCUUGAUGGAAUUUUCCUUCUUGUAAUUAGAGUUUGGGCAUAUUACCCCGUGAGCACGGUCCAACUUGAAAAAAUUGAUUGAUUUGGGUCAAAUUCAAAAUGAGGCAGGUCAAUUUUCAAGUUGUGAAAAACCUCGGUGUAGGCUUGAGAAUUAAAGAAAAAUGAUUUCAAAGGGUAAAAUACGUAAAAUUAAGUAAGUCAUUUAAUUUCACUUUUCAUUCAGUCUAUCAACUGAUUUCAUCUAGAUUGUAAUUAUAACCUUAGCGAAGCUGCAUUGCAUUAUUCUCUUUAUAAAUGCUUCAAAAUGAAAUUGUACUCAACUGACACGAAAAGUCGGUUUAGUGAUUGUAAUCUCGUUACAAGGUUUUUUUUUUUUUUUUUUUUUUUUAAAUCAAGGUGUCUACCUUCGAAGACUAUUCCUUUAGUAUGUGAUCCGGCCUCUCUUCACACAGACCAAUUAAAUCACGGAAUGUGCCUCCUACUGAUCAGGGUCCGAGCGCCUCUCCAAUUAAACUGUCAAAGUGCCUAAUGAGCCAACCCACGUUACGUCUUACCUUCCAAGACAUUCCUGUUUUCCAUGAUAAAUCCUGUAUUCGAGUACCUCAAUUUCACCCCUCAGUACCAUUCUUUUGGCGGGCUUUCGUGGUGGUUAUUAUUUCUCUCUCCUCCUCCACCGCCUUCCUCCUCUUUCUUUUCCUCUUCCUCUUCUUUUUCCUGUUUCUUUUCUCUACAUUCUUCAACCCCAUCCCCUGCACAACACUCCCGCCACCCCGAAACGCCGUAUAUGGCACCAUUACAAAAUCCAAUGUCGUAAUUUCUUGAAUCUUGGCGCCCCAAAUAACCAUUCCCUUGUUUUCUUUAUUACCCUGUUUUUCAUGGUUAUAUUUGGAUUUUUGUUUCUCUCUCGAUCCAUUUGCGAGAGCCCUGCAGGCUGCAUCCCACUUGGUUCGAUGCAUGUAUCGAGAAUAUAGUGUGCUAUCAAUAAGUCAAUUCAAUAUGUUUGCUUGGAUUAGGCAAAGCAACAGCCUUGUUACAUUUCAGCGCUGCUGGGAAUUGAAUUGAUCCUGUUCAGCUUCUUCAAUGGGAACAAAAAUGAAAGGGAUUUACAAAGGAUUCAAAUAUACUUCGUCUCAAAUGCUUGGAGGAUCGUGAAAUAGAGAUAGGAUACCCUUCAGAUGUUAAGCAUGUUGCACACAUUGGGUGGGAUGGCCCUUCUGGUAGUGCACCUAGUUGGAUGAAUGAAUUCAAUUCAGGGCCGGAUUUUGCGGCAAUUUUAAAUGGUAAUACUGGCUCUGUACAUUCUCCGUGGUCAUCUCAACAACAGAUUUUUUACAAUCCUUGCGGCAGCAAUCAGCUACUGACAAUUAUAAGGGCAUAAUCCCUGCAGAAUUUCCCCGUACUCAGAAGAAGCAGAAACGGAAGAAAUCUAAAUCAACGUCCUCUUCAAAGUCUGGUUCUUCCUCAUUAAGAUCAUCACGCCUAGCAAAAUCUAAAUCUAAAUUCAUUGAAGGCAAUGCAAAAUUAACAGAUAUUGCAGUGGCCUAGUAUAGCAAAUCCCCCUUCAUGCUUGACAAAAGUUUUGCAAUUAAGGCGAAAAUCAGGAGAAGAUGAGAUCUAAAGAGGAAAACGUAUUUUUGAUGUUCAAAAAUGGCUCAUUUUGAGAAAUCUGACUUCAUUUUUCUUCUUUUCUUUGUUCCAUCUUCUUUUGGAAAGAACCAACAUUUUUUAGUCAUGCUGAUGAGAAUUGUGCUGUUGCAAAAUUAUUGGAUUUGAACAUAUAUUAAGUUAAUUUAUGUUGUUCUUGUAGUCCUGCCGGUGUUUAU